CCUACGGGAGGCAGCAGUGGGGAAUAUUGGGCAAUGGGCGCAAGCCUGACCCAGCAACGCCGCGUGAAGGAAGAAGGCUUUCGGGUUGUAAACUUCUUUUAAGAGGGAAGAGAAGAAGACGGUACCUCUUGAAUAAGCCACGGCUAACUACGUGCCAGCAGCCGCGGUAAUACGUAGGUGGCAAGCGUUGCCCGGAUUUACUGGGUGUAAAGGGCGUGCAGCCGGGAAGACAAGUCAGGUGUGAAAGCCCGCGGCUCAACCGCGGAACUGCAUUUGAAACUGUUGUUCUUGAGUACCGGAGAGGUCAGCGGAAUGCCUGGUGUAGCGGUGAAAUGCGUAGAUAUAAGGAAGAACACCAGUGGCGAAGGCGGAUGACUGGACGGCAACUGACGGUGAGGCGCGAAAGCGUGGGUAGCAAACAGGAUUAGAUACCCCGGUAGUC
rnacentral:rRNA from 1 species